UACGGGGGGGCAAGCGUUGUUCGGAAUUACUGGGCGUAAAGGGCUCGUAGGCGGCCAACUAAGUCGGAUGUGAAAUCCCCAGGCUUAACCUGGGAACUGCAUCCGAUACUGGAUGGCUUGAAUUCGGGAGAGGGAUGCAGAAUUCCAGGUGUAGCGGUGAAAUGCGUAGAUAUCUGGAGGAAUACCGGUGGCGAAGGCGGCAUCCUGGACCGAGAUUGACGCUGAUGAGCGAAAGCUAGGGGAGCAAACGGG
rnacentral:rRNA from 1 species